AACCUCUCUGCCCUUCCUGACCAGCAAAGCUGAUUAGUCACCUUGCUUUGGCUGUCAGGAAGGAGGAUUUGCCUGAGCUUUUGGCUGAGAUUAUCCCAGCAGGCUGAAGGAGACCUCACAGGUUUUGUGUGGUUUACUGGCCUGGAUGCAGGAAGCAUUAGCUCACAGCUAAACAUGUGUGUCUCUGGCUUCCCCGGGCACAGUGGCUCUGCAAACAAAUGCAGCAGCUGCCCUGAUACAGCAAGGGAUGGCUCCAAAGUGGCAGGCCAGAAUACUCUUCCACACACAAAAGCCGCAGUGGGGUGGAAUUUUCUGAUAAGUUACUUUAGCCCUCAGGCCUAAUUUAUUGCCUAAGGAAGAAAUUAAUUUGGUUUUGAGACCAAACUCUUCAUUCUGGCUAAAAAGAGCUCUAAAGCUGGGGGAAAGAAAGAACAGUUUUAUGUGCAAGCACUGCAUAAUGUAAAGACAGAUCUUGAAUCUCGUUUCUGCCUGCCUUACUUCAAGCAUUAGGAAUGACCAGACUUGCUCCUGCAGUGUGCUGUGAGCCCCUAAAAUGCAGAUUCAAAGUUUAGUCCACCAUGUGGUAAGCAAACCUUGCUCACUAAAAUAGCACCUGUGUGAGAAAUAGCCUGUGAAAACUUCCCAGAUAUUCUUUAUUUAUUUUUUUUUUCCACCUUGGAAAAAUGGAGAGAGAAAUUGGAAAUACUCUCCCUUGGUUAUCAAGAGCAGAACUGCAUGUUAUUAUAAUAGCUUGUGGUCACAGAGAAAUACAGUCACCUCUAGAAAUUCUAGCAGCUCUGAUCUCUUUUGCAGCACCUAUCAGGGCAGGAACCUUUCUGCAAGGAAACCUGGCUGACCAGUAAGCGUUUCCUGGGCAAGGUGCCACAUGAGGUGCUGCAGCUUGCUGGAAUUCCAUUUCUUCUCUGGGGCAUAUAUUUAUACUACUUUGGAAUAUAUCUGGUCUCUGAGCCUUACCCUAGAAGCAGCUCCAAGGCUAUGGGCCACCUGCCUUCACAGGAAGACCUCUCUGCCUCUUUCAUCCUGCCAUACUGCCCAGGGAGACAGCAGUCUUUUCUCACAUCCUGGGAACUACAUAAGCUGCACUACAAAACCAGACGGCUGUGAGAGAUGUUCACAGGCAUUUGUUGGGAGCCAUUACUUGUGUUUGCCUUGCUACAGGCUCAUGAGCUCACCUAUGCUUGCUUUUGGUCUAGGGCAAACCAUCCACAGCUAUUUCUCUUUCUGUCACAUUACUCCAGAGUGUCCUCAAAGUGAUGGGCUGUGGCUAGAUGCAGAGAACCCCCUGAGUAUCAAAAGCAUUGCUUGA
rnacentral:lncRNA from 1 species